rnacentral:tRNA from 1 species
AAAGUUUUAAGUUAAUUCAAACUAAUAAUUUUCAAAAUUAUAAAUAAUUUUAUUAAGCUUUA